GACGAACCGAGCGAACGUUAUUCGGAAUCACUGGGCUCAAAGGGCGCGUAGGCGGGUUGCCAAGGUCGGGGUGAAAUCCUCCAGCUCAACUGGAGAACUGCCUCGAAUACUGGUGAUCUCGAGGAAGGGAGGGGCAUGCGGAACUGUGGGUGGAGCGGUGAAAUGCGUUGAUAUCCAUAGGAACUCCGGUGGCGAAGGCGGCAUGCUGGACCUUUUCUGACGCUGAGGCGCGAAAGCCAGGGGAGCAAACGGG
rnacentral:rRNA from 1 species